rnacentral:rRNA from 1 species
GAUGAACGCUAGCGGCAGGCCUAAUACAUGCAAGUCGAGGGGUAGAGAAGAGCUUGCUUUUCUUGAGACCGGCGCACGGGUGCGUAACGCGUAUGCAACCUACCUUUAUCAGGGGGAUAGCCUCUCGAAAGAGAGAUUAACACCGCAUAAAAACACAGUACGGCAUCGUACAAUGUUCAAAUAUUUAUAGGAUAAAGAUGGGCAUGCGUGACAUUAGCUAGUUGGUGAGGUAAGGGCUCACCAAGGCGACGAUGUCUAGGGGAUCUGAGAGGAUGACCCCCCACACUGGUACUGAGACACGGACCAGACUCCUACGGGAGGCAGCAGUAAGGAAUAUUGGUCAAUGGGGGCAACCCUGAACCAGCCAUGCCGCGUGCAGGAAGACGGCCCUACGGGUUGUAAACUGCUUUUAUACGGGAAUAAACCCCUUUACGUGUAAGGGUUGAAUGUACUGUAAGAAUAAGGAUCGGCUAACUCCGUGCCAGCAGCCGCCGUAA